AUKGUUGGGAUAGCUCAGUUGGUA
rnacentral:tRNA from 1 species